UGAAGCUCGUACUCGAGGGAGU
rnacentral:siRNA from 1 species